UGCAUCAACCGUAAGUCUACAAGUUCUCAU
rnacentral:piRNA from 1 species